rnacentral:rRNA from 1 species
UGGGGAAUUUUGGACAAUGGGCGCAAGCCUGAUCCAGCCAUGCCGCGUGCGGGAAGAAGGCCUUCGGGUUGUAAACCGCUUUUGUCAGGGAAGAAAUCUUCUGAGUUAAUACCUCGGGAGGAUGACGGUACCUGAAGAAUAAGCACCGGCUAACUACGUGCCAGCAGCCGCGGUAAUACGUAGGGUGCAAGCGUUAAUCGGAAUUACUGGGCGUAAAGCGUGCGCAGGCGGUUUUGUAAGACAGAGGUGAAAUCCCCGGGCUCAACCUGGGAACUGCCUUUGUGACUGCAAGGCUUGAGUGCGGCAGAGGGGGGAUGGAAUUCCGCGUGUAGCAGUGAAAUGCGUAGAUAUGCGGAGGAACACCGAUGGCGAAGGCAAUCCCCUGGGCCUGCACUGACGCUCAUGCACGAAAGCGUGGGGAGCAAACAGGAUUAGAUACCCUGGUAGUCCACGCCCUAAACGAUGUCAACUGGUUGUUGGGAAGGUUCCUUCUCAGUAACGUAGCUAACGCGUGAAGUUGACCGCCGGGGGAGUACGGCCGC